rnacentral:lncRNA from 1 species
UUUUUAUCGAUAUAUAUAAAUUUCCAAACUCUGAUGUUCAUCCUGUCGUUUGGUUGCAGCCUUGCUAAUAAGCAAGAUGGGUCCCUGUCCAUGGUGUAUCGCAAAAAUCAGAUCUCUGAGACUUUGAAAGGAAGGGGUUUUGAUCUUGAAAUUAUCUGCUGCUUCCUGACUUCGAUCCAGUAUCUGAAGUUUCCUGACUUUUGGCUCAUCCAACUCAAGUGA